rnacentral:rRNA from 1 species
CAGUCGCCACGGUAAUACAGAGGAUGCAAGCGUUAUCCGGAAUGAUUGGGCGUAAAGCGUCUGUAGGUGGCUUUUCAAGUCCGCCGUCAAAUCCCAGGGCUCAACCCUGGACAGGCGGUGGAAACUACCAAGCUGGAGUACGGUAGGGGCAGAGGGAAUUUCCAGUGGAGCGGUGAAAUGCGUUGAGAUCGAAAAGAACACCAACAGCGAAAGCACUCUGCUGGGACGACACUGACACUAAGAGACGAAAGCUAGGGGAGCAAAUGGGAUUAGAUACCCCCGUAGUCCCUGUCUCUUAUAC